GUGUGUAUACCUGCAGAGUUGUAACAUGCGGGCAUUUCUCCCCCCACCCCGCCAUUCUGGCUUCUUAACUUGCACCCUAACAGCUCGACAGAACCUUGGCGUCCACAAAAAGGACUUGAGGUGGGACAUGGAAGAACAGGGACCCCUCCUGGUUUGUCCACCAGGCCCAGACCUCCAUUCCUCACCCAACCUACCACUUCAAAGCCAGGGAAAGACCUCAGAGAACAUCCGCUCCGACUCCACCGAGGCUCAGACAGGACAACAAGAGUGUGCUGGACACUGGGAAAUGUGGUCCAGGAGCAGUCACAGUCCCUACAGACCUCCCACAAAUUACCGUAAUGCAAAGAGUGCUCAGCCCCUGCCGACAUGAGCAAUGGGCAGCGCGUCCCGCUGGGUUCCUGCCCCAUGAGAAGCACACAGCCUGGUUUGGGGAGGUGGGGCUCCAUCAGGGCUCUUUGGAUACCUGGGUGGAGCCCACAGACCAGCCCCCACCUUGUGUGGUUAGGGCUUUGCUAGGAAGGCCCACCAUCUGUGCGCCAUGACCUUGGAACUCGACGUGAGAUCCCUGGACCGGCAGCAGCACCUGAAAGCUUGUUGGAAAUGCUGAUCUCAGGUGGGACUCCAGAUUUCCCACAUCUGCACCUGCACUCCCAAAGUACCUCCCCACCAGAUGAUCCGAGGCCGUGGGGCAGUCUGAGGGGCACUGUGCUGGGGUGUCCCACCGCUAGAGAUCCAGUCUGGCAAUCUGAAGAUGUAAGUGCCCCCAGGAGGAGUGACAGAGUGACACAAAUGACACAAGGGGAGGAGACUUGUCAGGUGUCCCCUCCUGACUGCAAGUUUCUGGGGCAGAAGGCAAUGCCCCCACAGGGACUUUUCUAGACACUCCGAGUGCACCUGAAUUGCAUUUUGAGUGAUGCUACCUGCUAAUCAGGAAGAGCCCUCUGGAGCCUUGGAAAGCAGAGUGGAAGUGGUGGUGCCCAGGACGCAUGGGCUCUGAUGGGAAGGGGGAGGGUGGACCUGAGCGUGGGCCUUCUUCUCCCAGGGUCAGAGGGACCUGGGUGCUCCUGGAGGGAACGCUGAGGUCACCUCUGGCCAAAUCUUCCUGUUCUGCCCGUACCCAGCCCUGUUCAGUGAUGUCAAGCUUUUGGGUCCCUGUCCUGGGGCCCUCCACACUGGUCGGGCUGUGUAGAGACGCCCUUCUCUCCACUUUAUUGGGUCCAGAUUGUUGUGUGUCUUCUCCCCUCCUCUGCAGCCUGGGGUCUGAAAACAGUGAUGCUGACAGACAGACAGAUUUCCAAAAGAAAGGUCCUGCUCAGCCAAGGACAAAGGGGCCUUGCAGAGGCUCCUGGGGGUCAGAAAGCUGAGAGUCUACCGGGCAGGUGCCUUCUGCACCCACAGGCACAAGCUACAACAGCUUUCCAAGAAGCACAUCCACAUCGUCCCCAGGUCCAGAUGCCCACAUCGCCCUGCAGGGACCAAGACCACACUCAGGCUGCUUGGACAGGAUGUAGCGGGUCACUGUUCUGGAGCUGGCCCCUCUGUAGCCUGUGACAAUCAGCUCGAGUUUCUCUGCCAAGUCUCCGCCUUCUGUUCUUACUGCCCACCUUAAAGCAGAGUUGACGUUUCGGGUUUUUCCAGCAGACAAAGCUCACCCCAUCCGACACUGUGGAGGUUGUUAAUUUAACAACCAACCCGUCCUCAUGUUGAGAAACCAGCUCCAAAUGCUCACCUGGCUGUCAGGGAUGGGGAGCCUCAUGGGUGAAAGAGGGAUGUGAUGGCAUAUUUUAAACCAAAAGAGACAUUUGCGGUUGCCCAUGUUGCCCCGGGCCUGCUGGCCUCCUGCUGUGAAUGUUUUGGGCAAUACCAUCUCUGCCAGUGACCCCCAAUUGUCCACUUGUCUCCAGCAAGAUCGAACCAUGUAAGUGCCAUUUCUGACAACUUGGGUGAACGUUGGUUUCAAAUCAUCAGCUCUGCAUUCAAGUGCCCUGCUAAAAUUCUGGCUCACUCUGUGGGAAUAACUGCCUGCCUGGGCACGUUGCCGUUGCUGCCUCCCAAAAGGCAGUUUCUGGGGUCCCAGUUCAUCCAGGCUGGAUGUGGUUUGGGAGAGACCUGUGGCACCAGGUUGGAGGGCGGUCUCACCUCUCCUUUCUGAGCUGUGGACUGCAGCUUCAGGACCCUAUGGAUGAGGCUGAAUGUCAUGAAGAUAAUGGAAUUUGGAAUCUCAACAAAGCCAAGCCCCAUGCCAGAGAUUCACCAUCUGGGGCCCAGGAUCAGAAGUGUGCCCUUAGGAGGCCAAACAUCCACCUGUCUACCAACUAGACAUUUGGUCUCAGACAGCAAGAAAGGCUGUGUUUAUGUCAUUAGGGGGAACACCACGGUCUUCGGCAUGAGAGAGGUGUAAUUCUCAAGUUCAUCAGAGCUUGGCUUCCCCCAUGAGAAGAAACAAUUUGCCAGGUUGAAGAACACACGCUUUGAGGGUUCUCAGAGGCUGACACCUGUUGUGAAUCUUGGAAACUCAAGCCCCAGUGCAAACAGCCUUGAAGGAGGUCGAGCAUCAUGGUUCCAACAAGUGACUCACUUUGUUAACCCGAUGUGUAAGCAGAAUCGCAAUGCAUCCAUCCUUCCCUAAUCCUCACGUCGCUGUCAUCUGGUCAAUGAACUGAGGCCCAAAGCCUUGAGUCAAACUGGUUUUCGAGGCUGUGCUCAUGGGAUUUAUAUGUUUCUUGAGCCCUGUUGGAGGCUCUUGGCAGGUCUGAACAUUAAACAUUUCUUUUCUUCCUUUUAC
rnacentral:antisense_RNA from 1 species